UUAACUGAAGCCAAAAAGAGGCAUAUCACUGUUAAUGAUACUAAUGAAAAAUAGAUUUCCAGUUAAA
rnacentral:tRNA from 1 species